rnacentral:rRNA from 1 species
AUUGAACGCUGGCGGCAGGCCUAACACAUGCAAGUCGAGCGGCAGCGGGGGAAAGCUUGCUUUCCCGCCGGCGAGCGGCGGACGGGCGAGUAAUGUCUGGGAAACUGCCUGAUGGAGGGGGAUAACUACCGGAAACGGUAGCUAAUACCGACUAACGUCUUCGGACCAAAGUGGGGGACCUUCGGUCCUCAUGCCAUCAGAUGUGCCCCGAUGGGAUUAGCUGGUAGGUGUGGUAACGGCUCACCUAGGCGACGAUCCCUAGCUGGUCUGAGAGGAUGACCAGCCACACUGGAGCUGAGACACGGUCCAGACUCCUACGGGAGGCAGCAGUGGGGAAUAUUGCACAAUGGGCGCAACCUGAUGCAGCCAUGCCGCGUGUAUGAAGAAGGCCUUCGGGUUGUAAAGUACUUUCAGCGGGGAGGAAGGUGUUGUGGUUAAUAACCAGAGCAAUUGACGUUACCCGCAGAAGAAGCACCGGCUAACUCCGUGCCAGCCGCCGCGGUAA